UAUAAUUAACCAGUGAAAUAAAGUGUACUGGUAUCUUGUGUUCUAAUAAGUGUUGUGAUUAAUUGUCACCAAGUGUAAAAGCUUGUGUUUUUCUGGCUCGCCACUGAUGACAGAGUAGUUAUUUACGCCUCCCAAACCUUCGUCGCUGUACAUUGCGGUGUUAAAACCUAUGAAGAACAAGAUUAUCCAGACAGCGAUAAAAAUUUCACAACACUUUUCGUUCAAUUUUGCGAUCCACCAAAAGAAUCCUACGCAAGCGUCCUACUUGAACAUAAUUAUAAUAUUAAAAACAUAAGUGCACUUACAAUGGACCAAAUACCUUACGACUCCGUUCUAAAAGAUUCAAAGGCCCCUGGGAAGGAUGUGAAAAUCUACAGUAUCUAAUAGUUGCGCAAGUUGAAGUUCCGGAUAUAAAGAAUUGGCUGGCAAAAUGUACCAAACUGAAUACUAUUAUACUACAACGCAUGCCGUUGGUGCAUUCUCUGCGAUGGGUUCUUCAAGGAGCGACUGCUUUAAGUGAUCUUGUAAUCAGAGACUGCGAUAUCAAAUGGUUAACAACAGAUCUUUUCAUCUCC